AAAAUAAUCUGAGUGGUGUGCUUCCAAGGGAACUCAUUGCAAGAUAAGCGUAGAAGUCAGGACACAAAGUGGCUUUGGCAAACAGAAUGACCCAGUAGAGUUACCAAUCCAUGAACAAAUGGGAUGUGUAAUUAUCUAAAA